GCUUACUUAGUCUCUUUCAUUUCACUGUCUCUUUAUAAGCUCCUCAGCCAUCCUCUACGUCUCCAUCCGCUCUCCCUCAUUCUUUCCACCCUGUCAGCUUUUCUAUUUCUCUCUCAGUCGCUCUGUCUCUGCUCCUCCAGUUCCCCCAUCGCCCACAUAUUUACAGAGGCCGAGACGGAAUAACAUGCCGCCUACCGGAAGAGUCCAUUCUCCAGCGGGGUGGAAUUUCAGACGGAAGAACACUGGGUGUCACAUGGCUGGCCCAGGUCACUCCCCGCCCCCCCACGCCGGGUGAGGGGAAGGGCUGACUACGAAGGGGAGGCCGGGGGAGCAAAAGGACCGGCCUGAGGAGACGCGAGGACAGAGGCGCUGGGAGGGAGGGAGGGGGUCUCAGGAGAGGGGCGGGCUCUGCAGAAUGCCAGGACCGGGGAGAGGACGUGGGCUGUCCGGGAGCGGGGCGGCCGGCGCUGCCCUCCAGGGGCCGAGAGGGCGAGGCUGGGGGGCGCGAAUCCACCUCGCGGAAGGGGACGUUACAGGCGGCGGGAAGGGACGGAGGCAGUAAUGGAUUUUAAGCAGGAAAAUGUCGCGAAUGGAGGUGUCUACCCGGACCGAAGGCAGAAAAGCCAAGGGCACCGGGACCGGCCUCAGAGCGAAUUCAAACCCAAAGCUGCUGAGCCUAUGCUCUAGAGCCCGCGAGCCACCACUACUGAGCCCAUGUGCCGCAACUACUGAAGCCCACGUGCCUAGAGCCCGUGCUCCGCAACAAGAGAAGCCACAGCAACGAGAAGCCACGCACCUCAAUGAAGAGUAGCCGCCGCUCCCCGCAACUAGAGAAAGCCCUUGAUCAGUAACAAAGACCCAACGCAGGGCUUCCCUGGUGGCGCAGUGGUUGAGAGUCCGCCUGCCGAUGCAGGGGACACGGGUUCAUGACCCGGUCCGGGAAGAUUCCACAAGCCGCGGAGCGGCUGGGCCCGUGAGCCAUGGCCGCUGAGCCUGCGCGUCCAGAGCCUGUGCUCCGCAAUGGGAAAGGCCACAACAGUGAGAGGCCCGCAUACCGAAAAAAAAAAAAAAAAAGACCCAACGCAGCC